rnacentral:rRNA from 2 species
CGAUGGCGAAGGCAGGUCUGGGCAUUAACUGACGCGAGGAGCGAAAGCAUGGGGAGCGAACAGGAUUAGAUACUGGUAGUCCAUGCCGUAAACGUUGGGCACUAGGUGUGGGGGACAUUCCACGUUUUCCGCGCCGUAGCUAACGCAUUAAGUGCCCCGCCUGGGGAGUACGGCCGCAAGGCUAAAACUCAAAGGAAUUGACGGGGGCCCGCACAAGCGGCGGAGCAUGCGGAUUAAUUCGAUGCAACGCGAAGAACCUUACCAAGGCUUGACAUGGACUGGAAAUACCUGGAAACAGGUGCCCCGCUUGCGGUCGGUUCACAGGUGGUGCAUGGUUGUCGUCAGCUCGUGUCGUGAGAUGUUGGGUUAAGUCCCGCAACGAGCGCAACCCUCGUUCUAUGUUGCCAGCGCGUUAUGGCGGGGACUCAUAGGAGACUGCCGGGGUCAACUCGGAGGAAGGUGGGGACGACGUCAAAUCAUCAUGCCCCUUAUGUCUUGGGCUUCACGCAUGCUACAAUGGCCGGUACAAAGGGUUGCGAUACUGUGAGGUGGAGCUAAUCCCAAAAAGCCGGUCUCAGUUCGGAUUGGGGUCUGCAACUCGACCCCAUGAAGUCGGAGUCGCUAGUAAUCGCAGAUCAGCAACGCUGCGGUGAAUACGUUCCCGGGCCUUGUACACACCGCCCGUCAAGUCACGAAAGUUGGUAACACCCGAAGCCGGUGGCCUAACC